GCCCCAGUAGCUCAACUGGUAGAGCGGUCGCCUCGUAAGCGACAGGUUGAGGGUUCGAAACAAACCUUUCUUUACAGGAGCU
rnacentral:tRNA from 1 species